UCAGUUGAUAUUUGUUUGAUUCAGGUCUGGUCAGUAGUCAGUUGAUAUUUGAUCCAGGUCUGGUCAGUUGAUAUUUGAUCCCGGUCUGGUCAGUAGUCAGUUGAUAUCUGAUCCAGGUCUGGUCAGUAGUCAGUUGAUAUUUGAUCCAGGUCUGGUCAGUUGAUAUUUGAUCCAGGUCUGGUCAGUAGUCAGUUGAUAUUUGAUCCAGGUCUGGUCAGUUGAUAUUUGAUCCAGGUCUGGUCAGUUGAUAUUUGAUCCAUGUCUGGUCAGUUGAUAUUUGAUCCAUGUCUGGUCAGUUGAUAUUUGAUCCAGGUCUGGUCAGUAGUCAGUUGAUAUUUGAUCCAGGCCUGGUCAGUUGAUAUUUGAUCCAGGUCUGGUCAGUAGUCAGUUGAUAUUUGAUCCAGGUCUGGUCAGUAGUCAGUUGAUAUUUGAUCCAGGUCUGGUCAGUUGAUAUUUGAUCCAGGUCUGGUCAGUAGUCAGUUGAUAUUUGAUCCAGGUCUGGUCAGUGGUCGGUCAGUCAGUAAUGUAACAGUGAAGACAUAUCUAACAGUGAAAGUCUUGGACAGGACAGGAGGAGUGUGUUGUUUGGAAAAAGGACUUCCCAGAACGUCUGUGAUUGUUCUUGUCUCGAAGAACAGAGUGGAGAGGGAGAGAGUGUAGGCAUGUGUUUGGUCAUUUCUCCUCUUCGUUUUGUUCUACUUCCUGUAUCACACGGGAACAGCCAAUCAGUUCAUGCGUUGCAGUAACGAUGAUGACUAGUGAAUAGUCUAGAAUCUUCCUCUGUGUUUGGGCUGGUGAUGAUGACGACGCCCAGGAGAGAUGCAGCCCAACCUGAAUACGUGUUAGUGUGAGACUGAGCGUUGUGCCACGACAACAACCGCCACUGUGUUCCUGUGGAUUAAGGACAUCAAGGUAUUAAUGCUUAGACUUGACGCAUGGUUUCAUGGGGAAUCCAUUACCUACGAAGCUAUGACAAAGUGUGUGUCUCACACACACACACACACACACACACUUUGACAUCACUACCCUUCUGACACACAUCCCUCAGCAAAUUCAGGUCCUUCAGUUUUAGUGUUUUGUGAGUUUUAUUGCUGAAAAACUGUUAUUGUUGUGUUAUUUCCACAUCACUGAUAUACACCCAGCCCAAAGAAUGUAACGGUGGAAGAGACUUAAUGUAUGUAUCUUGUUUGACUGUGUCCCAAAUGACACCCUAUUUCCUAUAUAGUGCACUACGUUUUGUCCAGAGCUGGUCUAAAGUAGUGCGCUAUGUGUAUGAAACAGGGUGGGACGUAGCCAUUCUGCUGUAGAAGAGAAACAGGCUUGUGUAAUGAAGUGGUUCAAUCAUGUCCCAUUCAGUGGUAUGAGAAUCGAGUUCUGAAAUUCUACGUUCUGAUUCUAUGAUUCCGUUGUUCCGAUGUUACUGUAACAAGCAGCUCUGUUUGGACUAUUCUGAAUGUUGGACCUGAACCGUGUUUCUUUACUAUUGACAGACUGAAACCCAACUGUUAUUUCACCAAUACACACUGUGGUGGUUUCUAAAAAUCCUGCUAGUUUACUGGUUAAAAACCAGCUCAGAAACCUUACUUACCAGGUAACCUCAACUAGUUUUAAUGUACACUUUUUCCAGGUAACUCCAACUAGUUUAAUGUACACUUACCAGGUAAUCCCAACUAGUUUUAAUGUACACUUACCAGGUAAUCCCAACUAGUUUUAAUGUACACUUACCGGGUAAUCCCAACUAGUUUUAAUGUACACUUAACGGGUAAUCCCAACUAGUUUUAAUGUACACUUACCGGGUAAUCCCAACUAGUUUACUGUACACUUACCGGGUAACUCCAACUAGUUUUAAUGUACACUUACCAGGUAAUCCCAACUAGUUUUAAUGUACACUUACCAGGUAAUCCCAACUAGUUUUAAUGUACAUUUACCAGGUAAUCCCAACUAGUUUAAUGUACACUUACCAGGUAAUCCCAACUAGUUUUAAUGUACACUUACCAGGUAAUCCCAACUAGUUUUAAUGUACAUUUACCAGGUAAUCCCAACUAGUUUUAAUGUACAUUUACCAGGUAAUCCCAACUAGUUUAAUGUACACUUACCAGGUAAUCCCAACUAGUUUUAAUGUACAUUUACCAGGUAAUCCCAACUAGUUUAAUGUACAUUUACCAGGUAAUCCCAACUAGUUUAAUGUACACUUACCAGGUAAUCCCAACUAGUUUAAUGUACACUUACCAGGUAAUCCCAACUAGUUUUAAUGUACACUUACCAGGUAAUCCCAACUAGUUUUAAUGUACAUUUACCAGGUAAUCCCAACUAGUUUAAUGUACACUUACCAGGUAAUCCCAACUAGUUUAAUGUACAUUUACCAGGUAAUCCCAACUAGUUUUAAUGUACAUUUACCAGGUAAUCCCAACUAGUUUUAAUGUACAUUUACCAGGUAAUCCCAACUAGUUUUAAUGGGGCUCUGCUGACGUGCAUUUCCUCUUCCUGUCACCAGGUGUGUCCUCCCUCUCUCCCAAAGCAACAUGGGAAACGUAGUGUUUCCUGUAUUCUAAACCCUUCUCCUCCCUCUCUCCCAAAGCAACAUGGGAAACGUAGUGUUUCCUGUAUUCUAAACCCUUCUCCUCCCUCUCUCCCAAAGCAACAUGGGAAACGUAGUGUUUCCUGUAUUCUAAACCCUUCUCCUCCCUCUCUCCCAAAGCAACAUGGGAAACGUAGUGUUUCCUGUAUUCUAAACCCUUCUCCUCCCGCUCUCCCAAAGCAACAUGGGAAACGUAGUGUUUCCUGUAUUCUAAACCCUUCUCCUCCCGCGCUCCCUCGGUCAAUAUGAAAAUAAAACCCGAUUUACAAAUGUA